rnacentral:rRNA from 1 species
AGUCCAAAGAUUUAUCGCCAGAGGAUGAGCCCGCGUUGGAUUAGGUAGUUGGUGGGGUAAAGGCCUACCAAGCCGACGAUCCAUAGCUGGUUUGAGAGGAUGAUCAGCCACACUGGGAAUGAGACCCGGCCCCGACUCCUUCGGGAGGCAGCAGUGGGGAAUAUUGGACAAUGGGGGCCAGCCUGAUCCAGCAACGCCGCGUGAGUGAUGAAGGCCCUAGGGUUGUAAAGCUUUUUUUCCCGGGAAGAUAAUGUCUUUAAAGGGGGAAUAAGCCCCGGCUAACUCCGUGCCAGCCGCCU